UAGAUUGCAGGCUGNAACCCGCCUGCAUGAAGUCGGAAUUGCUAGCAAUCGCGGAUCAGCAUGCCGCGGUGAAUACGUUCCCGGGCCUUGUACACACCGCCCGUCACACCAUGGGAGCCGGUAAUACCCGAAGUCAGUAGUCCAACCUCGUGAGGACGCUGCCGAAGGUAGGAUUGGCGACUGGGGUGAAGUCGUAACAAGGUAUC
rnacentral:rRNA from 1 species